GCCCGGAUGAUGAAAUUGGUAGACAUGCUAGGUUCAGGGUCUAGUCCAAUUAUUUGGGUGGGGGUUCGAGUCCCCCUCCGGGCACAA
rnacentral:tRNA from 1 species